GAUGAACGCUAGCGGCAGGCCUAAUACAUGCAAGUCGAACGAUAUUUUCCAGCUUGCUGGGAGAGAAAGUGGCGCACGGGUGCGUAACGCGUAUGCAACCUACCUUUAUCAGGGGGAUAGCCCGGAGAAAUCCAGAUUAAUACCGCAUAAAAUCACAGAACGGCAUUGUUCGAUGAUCAAACAUUUAUGGGAUAAAGAUGGGCAUGCGUGUCAUUAGCUAGUUGGCGGGGUAACGGCCCACCAAGGCGACGAUGACUAGGGGAUCUGAGAGGAUGGCCCCCCACACUGGUACUGAGACACGGACCAGACUCCUACGGGAGGCAGCAGUAAGGAAUAUUGGUCAAUGGAGGCAACUCUGAACCAGCCAUGCCGCGUGCAGGAAGACUGCCCUAUGGGUUGUAAACUGCUUUUAUCCGGGAAUAAACCUCCGAUCGUGAUCGGAGCUGAAUGUACCGGAAGAAUAAGGAUCGGCUAACUCCGUGCCAGCCGCCGCAGUAA
rnacentral:rRNA from 1 species